GCGACAGCCGCCCGGUUCAGUAAGGGGGAAUCGAUUCUAUGGAGAAAGCUUCGCCGUUCCAAGCCACCUGGUCGUGGCGCCCGUUCAUCGCCUG
rnacentral:sRNA from 1 species